CCUACGGGUGGCAGCAGUGAGGAAUAUUGGUCAAUGGCCGCAGGGCUGAACCAGCCAAGUCGCGUGAGGGAUGACGGUCCUAUGGAUUGUAAACCUCUUUUGUCAGGGAGCAAAUGGCGCCACGUGUGGCGUUUUGCGCGUCCCUGAAGAAAAAGCAUCGGCAAACUCCGUGUCAGCAGCCGCGGUAAUACGGAGGAUGCGAGCGUUAUCCGGAUUUAUUGGGGUUAAGGGGUGCGCAGUCGGAAUGUCAAGUCAGCGGUAAAAUUUCGGGGCUCAACCCCGUCGUGCCGUUGAAACUGGGGUUCUUGAGUGAGCGAGAAGUAGGCGGAAUGCGUGGUGUAGCGGUGAAAUGCAUAGAUAUCACGAAGAACUCCGAUUGCGAAGGCAGCAUACCGGGGCUCAACUGACGCUCAUGCACGAAAGCGUGGGUAUCGAACAGGAUUAGAUACCCGUGUAGUC
rnacentral:rRNA from 1 species